rnacentral:miRNA from 1 species
CUGGAUGCUCAGUUAAGUUUAAAUUCCAGAUUAAUUAGGAAUAAUUUGGGGGGUAUAAAUAUACUCCAUGCAACGUUUGGGACAUACUUAUACUAAAAAAAUUGUUAUUUAUCUGAAAUUCAAAUGUAACUGGUUAUGCUGUA